GCCURAKCGGUSUGUURCYAGSGCGYAMAGCGCACGCAGGCGGUUGRUUAAGUYAGAUGUGAAAUCCCCGGGCUYAACCUGGGAAYGGCAUYURARACUGGYCAGCUAGAGUCUUGUAGAGGGGGGUAGAAUUCCAUGUGUAGCGGUGAAAUGCGUAGAGAUSUGGAGGAAUACCGGUGGCGAAGGCGGCCCCCUGGACAAAGACUGACGCUCAGGUGCGAAAGCGUGGGGAGCAAACAGGAUUAGAUACCCUGGUAGUCCACGCUGUAAACGAUGUCGAUUUGGAGGUUGUKCCCUUGAGGAGUGGCUUCCGGAGCUAACGCGUUAAAUCGACCGCCUGGGGAGUACGGCCGCAAGGUUAAAACUCAAAUGAAUUGACGGGGGCCCGCACAAGCGGUGGAGCAUGUGGUUUAAUUCGAUGCAACGCGAAGAACCUUACCUACUCUUGACAUCCAGAGAAYUUAGCAGAGAUGCUUUGGUGCCUUCGGGAACUCUGAGACAGGYGCUGCAUGGCUGUC
rnacentral:rRNA from 1 species